GCCGCUAUCGUCUAUUGGUAAGAUGCAGGCCUCUCACGUUUGAGAACGGAGUUCGAUUCUCCGUAGCGGCA
rnacentral:tRNA from 1 species